UGGUUCACGUUCGGUGGAGGAACCAGAUUGGAUGUUGGAAGUGAUGCCCGUCCCACCCUGACGGUGCUGCCCCCCUCCAGUGAGCAGCUGCAGCAGGGGGAGGCCACGCUCAUGUGCCUGGCCAACAAGGGCUUCCCCUCAGACUGGAGUCUGUCCUGGAAGGUGGACGGCAGCAGCAGCAGCAGCAGCAUCAGCUGGGAGCAGAGCAGCAGCCCCGGGGUGCUGGAGAAGGACGGCCACUACAGCUGGAGCAGCACCCUGAGGCUCUCUGCAGACCAGUGGAGGAAGGUGGGCUCUGUGACCUGUGAGGCCACCCAGGGCUCCCAGACUCCGCUCUCAGAGACUCUGAGGAGAGACCAGUGUCCCCAGUCCUGACCUGACUCACUGGUUUUACUCUGCUGCUGCUCUCACUCUGCAGUCUGUAACUCUCUCUUUCUCACAUGUU